UACAGAGGGUGCAAGCGUUGUUCGGAAUUAUUGGGCGUAAAGGGUGCGUAGGCGGUUUGGUAAGUCUUAUGUGAAAUCUACAGGCUCAACUUGUAGUCUGCAUGAGAAACUGCCGGGCUUGAGUAUGGGAGAGGUGAGUGGAAUUCCUGGUGUAGCGGUGAAAUGCGUAGAUAUCGGGAGGAACACCUGUGGCGAAAGCGGCUCACUGGACCACAACUGACGCUGAGGCGCGAAAGCUAGGGGAGCAAACAGG
rnacentral:rRNA from 1 species